AUGCCCUCCCCACUAGGAAAAGGCCUGGCUCUGAGCAGCCGCUGCUGCUUCGAGCUCCGGCUCUGCCGCCGCGGCGUCAGGGUCGUUGCCGCCCAGCCCAGGCGGGGCUUAGGUUCCCGCUCCUCCGAUGUUUACGUUUGGUCAAAAACUCCUCAGGCAGAAAUAACUAAUGCCGCCCCCCGGAAGCUUAUACCACGUGGCAGAGUGGGGUCACAAAGCGGGGAGCAGUGGCACGAAGGGGAAGGGGAGAAAGACCUCCCUGUUCCCUCCCCCACCCUGCAGGGGCCUUCCUCUUAGGCUGCAGAGCCAAGGGUCGCUCUCCGUGGUGGAGCUCCCUCUGCAGAAGACCCCCUGGAAAAUUGCACCUCAGCAGUGGUGACAUUUUAUGGGCCAUGAUUUGCUGCAUUUAUGGCUCUGGUGGUGCAGGUGCAGAGUCGUAGGCUCCCCUUCUCACCCCGCAAAUUGCUCACAGUGCAAUCUGUCAUCUUCAAGGCUAGGUGUGAACCGGGCAGGGUUGCCCUUAAAAUGGAAUUGCAGUUAAAGGCCGAGAUCUGAAAGGAAGCGCUCCAACCGGGGCGUGGCUUUUCCCACCGGGUCUGGACUUUUCCUUCAGGCCCCGCCGUGCGUGCCCAUCGGCUUGGCUGUCGCAGCUUGGGGGGACUGGGCGCCCCGGGCUCUGCCUGCCUGCAGAGCUCCAGUCCUUUCCGUUACAGGCCUGUGGAAUCCUCCACCGAACAAGGCCUCGCGCUGGCCUCUGCCCCACCCCACUGCGAGGAGCUGCUCCUCCUCCGAGGCCUGUGGUUUUUCUCCCCGCAGAGUGGGCUUGGUGGCGGCACCGCAUGGCGCAAACAGCACGGGGGGCUUUGGAACCGCCUGGACUUGAGCCCUACCCCACCACAUAUUCGCUGUGUGAGUGUGGAUCCGGUGGUUACCCUGUCUACAGCCCGCGUCUUAAAAUGGGAGUAGUAACAAUCCCCUCAAUAGUUGUUCUGAGGAUUAAGUGAAAUUCAGAUUUCAUAAGAGACGUCCUUUUUCAAUAGUCAGGUCUCUCGCCUUCAUAAGUCAAGUUCCACUCGGGCCAGAGGCCCUGUGGUUGUUUCUGAAAACAAGGUCAGUAGAAGUGCUAGACCCAUUGUUUCCUUAACUCUGCCCUUCCCCCUACCCUCCUGGCUCUCUGGAGCCCGCAGCCUCUUCCGACCCACUUCCACCUUCACCCACACCCACAGGCUUACAGGGCAGAGCUGUUUUGUUGACGGGGCGGGGGUGGGGUUGGGGGUGGGGGCGGGGUUGGGGAUGGGGGUGGGGGGGGGGGGGGGGGGGGUGGAGGCGUGAAAACUGUACCUCUGACUUAAGCUGGACCAUUCACGGCCUUUCUCAAAUUUCCCUCCCCCACCUUGCCACAGGGGAUUGGUCCCAGCGGGAAGAGCUGACAUAUUUGAAUCCAAUCAAAAGCCUUCUUGGAAAAUUUUGAAACUGGAAGUGAAAAAGUCAAGUUUCUCCCCAGGGCUAAAACUGCAAGAUAUUAUAAUGUACAUGACCAUGUUUCCCAUGGUCAGGAGAGGAGAGGCAAGGUCAAUCUGAAGGCAGAACUCAUGAUAGGGACACAGACAGAAACAGAGAUAAAGAUCGAGCAAAAGACAAAGAUAGAGCCUGAGCCACAGCCAGACAGGCUGGGAGAGAGAGCUGAGGCCAACAGGAGUCUGAUGUUAUGGGCAGCAUCGGUUCCUGUGUCCCUGGUAAGGCCCUGCCUGCCCCUGAUUCCUUGUGGCAACCCAUUAUUUUUUGCCACAAAUUCUUAUUGUUCAAAUUAGUUUGUUUUUGUUGCUUGUAAUCCAAAAAUUCCACCAUGGCAUUUACUAGUUUAACAUACACAGUAAAGAGCUCCCCAGCUCCCAUUAUAAACCCCACGUAUACUUCUAUCCCCCGCAGUAUACGUCAGUGCCCCAUAACGAGGUGCUCAAUAAAUGCUCUUCAGAUUGCACUCAGCAACUUGUGAGUGGACAGGAAGUGCUCUGGUGGCUGUUGAAACUGGAGACUUCAACUGGUUAAUUUAAAGGGGAAGCAUCGCCAAUUGCCACAGACUUCUAGAAGCCCAUUUAUUGUACCCUAGUGGUAAUUAAGGCUUAUUCAAGUGAAUAGAAAGAGAAAAGAGAAGAAACUUUAUCCCCUCUAAAUUGCAUUUAAUAAAAAUCUUGGAGAAAAUGAGUGAAUUGUCAGGCUUAAUAAUUUCCCCUGGGUCUUUGUUGGAGGGAGGCUGAGGAAAUGUACAGUAUUCUACAUUUAUGGGACAGCAGAUCGGCAUUUUAACUGAGAGUAAAAUGCAGUCGUGGCUUACCCUCCUUUUUUUCCCCCUCAUUUGUUUCCAAAGGGUUUUUUCCAGCUCAUGAGUCACUUCCAGUCAGAUUCAAAGACAAAAGCCGGCUAAUUGUGUGUCCAUGAGUCAGGGUCCCACCCUGCCUUAUCUGAACACCCUUUCUAGCUCUGAGAAGACAGAGCAAUUUUCAGCCUAUAAGGCAUUGAGUGGAACCUGUUCCACACCGCUUCUGGGUCGGGCUCUUUAGGGAGCAGUCCAGGCCCUUCCAUCUCCUUCUGGCAUCCGGCUGCUGAUAGCACCUUGGGGUGUUUCCUUUCCAGUGUUAUUUUCAGUCAGGAACUGUGCAGUCUACCCUGUUCCUAAGGCACCCUGUUGUGCCCAGAGAGAUAAAGGUGAAUUUAAAAGGAGGUCCAAACCCUCUAGCAAUUUAUCAAAUAAUGAAGGAGAAAGGCAGAAAAGAAUCACUGUUAGACAAGCUUUGAGGGCUAUGGAAGAGUAAGUGCUAAGACUAGUGAUUUCUCAGUCUGCUCCCCUUGCUGUGUCUCCGCAGCAUUUUAUCUGGUUGACUUUCCAACUACUUGAAACAUUUUAUCUGGAGACUUCCCUGAUGUUAUUUUGUUUUCCAAGCAGUUCUCUACUCCCCACUCCCACUUUUUCUCUUAUCCUCAUGCCUUAAAUGCUAC
rnacentral:lncRNA from 1 species